ACAGCAACUACUAAGAAAAUGCAUCGUGCGAUUGCCAUCAUUCAUUUAAGGAAGAUUUGCACGGAACCUUGCCUGGGAGAAUAGACAACUGUGAGGCUCAUGAGGUUCAGAAUAUGACUGGGCUUCCAGAGGUCCUGGCUUACCAGGAUUUCUGUGUUAAAAGAUCCCUAAAAUCUUGAAGGAGUUUUAUGAAUCUUACAGUAAUAAAUAUAACUGAAUUAAGACCUACGAAUGAUAUUUCAGCAGCAGGAGAAUUACUCUUGUGAUUAUCAGUGUUCGCUACUUCCUAAAAAUGUGAAGGAGGCAGCUUACCACGGAAGCUAUAAAUACACACCAAAUAAACAAGUAUUUAAAGAGUAAUAAUAAUAAUUAAUAAUAAUAACGCAAAACACAGUGGGGGGAAAGAUCAUUUCUAACACCUGAAGUGCUAUGAUCACCAUUGGUGUCCUUGCUGAAUGGAAGAUCAAACAUCGAAAUCUAUUAUUCUAAACUGGAAGUAUCUAAGAGAAGAAGAUGUCAAUAAGGAAAUAAAACAAGUAGAAGUAAAUACAAACCCAUAAAAGUAUGCCAGGUACUGUAAACCAUUUAAAAACAUAAAUACAAUCGACAUGAAUUUGUUUAUCUUGUAGAACCCCACAUGGGUUAGUUUAAUUGCACAACAAGAAUGAAAGAACAUAUCCUGAAAAAAAAAAAAAAGAAAAAAGAAAAAGGAAAAGCGAGAGCUGCCAAGAAUGAAAGCCAGUGAUGUUUGCCUAAAAAAAAACUGUAAAUCCCUCCUUCCCUAUAUACAGCAGGAUGCUUGGGUCACAGUCUCCAAGUCUUUUGUUCUGAUGAUGAGCGCUAUGUUUCAUUGGCCUGCAGGCCAGAAGACUAUUUAGCAAUGGAGACAUUUUAAAGUACCAAAUAUUUGGUGAAACAUCGGACCAAAUGUUUAUU